rnacentral:lncRNA from 13 species
AGUUUUUAAAGAGAAGCUAAAUAGAAUUUAUAUUUCUAGAUCCUUGAGGAAUCACCACACUGUCUUCCCUGGCACAUAUACACCAUGGAAUACUAUGCAGCCAUAAAAAACUAUGAGUUUGUGUCCUCCAUAGAGACAUGGAUGAAUCUGGAUACCAUCAUUCUCAGCAAACUGAUGCAAGAACAGAAAACCAAACACUGCAUGAUUUCACUCACAGCAACAUGGACAAAGCUGGAGGCUAUUACCCUAAGAUAACUAACGCAGGAACAGAAAACCAAAUACUGCAUGUCCUUGCUUCUAAGUAGGAGCUAACCACUGAGUACAUGUAGACACGAAGAGGGGAACAGUAGAUAUUGUGGCUUACCUGAAGGUGGAAGAUGGGAGGAAGGUAAGGAUCAAGAAAACUACCUAUUACGUUCUAUGUUUAAUGUCUGAAAAAUGAAAUAAUAUGUAUAGCAAACUCCAGUGACAUGUAAAUUACCCAUGUAACAAACCUGUACAUGUUCCCUCUGAAUCUAAAAGUUGGAAGAAUAAAAAGACUG